rnacentral:rRNA from 1 species
ACAAUUAUUGGGUCUAAAAUAUCCGUAGCUUGCUAAAGAAGUCUCCUGUGAAAUCCAGCAUCUUAAGUGUAGGGCGUGCAGGAGAUACUCUUUGGCUAGAGACCGGCAGGCGUAAGAAGUACAUUCGGGGUAGUGGUAAAAUAUUUUAAUCCCGAGUGGACUGACAGUCGCGAAGGCGUCUUACGAGGACGGUUCUGACAGUGAGGGAUGAAGGCUAGGGGCGCAAAAGGGAUUAGAUACCCCUGUAGUCCUAGCAGUAAACACUGCUCACUAAACAUUAGUACCUCCUCGAGAGGUAUUGGUGCUGUAGCGAAGGCGAAGAGUGAGCUACCUGGGAAGUAUAGUCGCAAGACCGAAACUUAAAGGAAUUGGCAGGGGAGCACUACAACGGGUGACGCGUACGGUUCAAUCAGAUUCUACACCGUGAACCUCACCAGGAUCGACAGCAGAAUGAAGGUCAGUCUAAAGGGCUUACCUGACACGCUGAGAGGAGUUACAUAGUCGACGUCAGCCUGUGUCGUGAGAUGACCUGUUAAAUCAGGUAACAGGCGAGAUCCGCGUGAACAGUUGCUACGUUAAGAGCACACUGUCCAGACUGCCUUGGUAACAAGGAGGAAGGUGCGGGCUACGUUAGGUGGCACGACCCUAAUACCCUGGGCUACACGCGCGCGUCAAUGCUAUAUACAGUGAGAUGCAACUCUGAGAAGAGAAGCUAAUACCAUAAAGUAUAGCUUAGUUCAGAUUGUGGGCUGCAACUUGCCCACAUGACGCUGGAAUCCGUAGUAAUUGUUUUUUAUCAAAA